GCGUCGGUAGUUCAAUGGUAGAAUUCUUGCCUUCCAAGCAAGAGUCCCGGGUUCGAUUCCCGGCCGACGCA